ensembl:lncRNA
CUUGGAGAGAUAGUGGGGAAGGAAGAAGCAGAAGCAGAGAAGGGCAAGGCAAGACCUCAUUUGGGAUACUCAUUAAGAGUUUCUCAUGGGUGAAAGCCUUAUGUCUGGAUAUUCUUCAGCUUAUCAAUGUCCUUCCCAAAAUAUGGUGGAAAGAACUGAACGUGAUCUUGCAGAGAAUCCUUCACAAGAACUCUAUUCACAAGGACUCUAUUCAUUGGCUGAGGUACCUUCCUAUAAAACUCUUGACAUCAGGAGGAUGCCAUUAGAACACAUAAAAUGGUUAUAUAUAGAAGUUAUGCUACUACUACUUAAGACAUAAAUUGCACAAAGAAUUCAGCACUGGGACUGGAGUCAGGAAGAUCUGAAUUGAAAUAGCUGUGUGAUGCAAGCAAGUCAUUUAACUUCUGUCUACCUCAGUUUCCCCAACUAUACAAGGGGAUAAUAAUAGCACCUAUUUCCCCAGAUUACUAUGAAGAUGAGAUUAGAUAUUUGUAAAAUGUUUAUCUCAGUACCUGGAAAACAAUAUAGGCACUUAAUAAAUACUUAUACCUUCCUCCCAAUAUGACCAGUACAUUUCCUUUUCUAGUCGUACAUCCUUUUCUAACUCUGAUAUACAGUGCCAUUGUUUAUUAGUAAUAUAUGAGAGCAUAUCAUGCUCACUAUGUCUCUCUUCAGUGUCCUUUAAGUAAUAUGUGAAUUAAACUUUUUUUCAAAAAAGAAAUAGAUGACUAUCGAUAUCUUUUAUUUCUAUGACAUUGACAUUUCUCUCUGUAUACUUUUCCCCUCCUAGAACCAUACAUUAUUUUUUAAUGAAAUGAGAGGAAUAAAAGGAGGAAAAGUUAAAUAAAGCUCACCAGGACAUUAGAAGGGUGUUUGAUAGUAUAUUUAAUGUGUCACACAAAGCUUGGAGUCCCUGCCUCUAUAGAAGAAGAAGGAGAUACCUCAUAAUUUCUUUUCAGAGUCCACUUUGGUUAUUAUAAUUGUACAAUAUUAAAUCUCAAUUGUCCUUUUGAUCUUUGUAUUUGCAAUGUUUUGGUCAUUAUGUCUAGUUUGGAUCUCCAAAUUCAAGGGAAUGGGCAAUUUAAUUACUUUAUUUGUAGAAUUCCAAAUUACUUUCUAAAAGGAAUGUAUCCAUUAACAAUGUGUUAAUAUGUUCUCCUUUUCAUGAACCCUUCAAUAUUAACUAUUCCCACAUUUUGUCAUCUGUGCCAGUUUUCUUGGUGUAAGGAGAGACUUAAUUGUUGUUUAGAUUUGCAUUUUAUUUAUUAUUAGUGUUUCAUAACAUUUAUGUGACUGUUAAUAAUUUGUGAUUCCUCUUUUGAGAAUACUUUGUUCAAAUCUCUUGGUGAUCUAACUUAUUGAGAAUGACUUGUGGUCUUAUGAAUUUCUUUUAGUUGUCUCUUUAAAUAUUGGAUUUAAGACUCUUUUUAAAAGAUAUCUGAUAUAAAGAUUUUUUCCCCACAAUCAACUGUUUUCCUUAUGAAAGAUACAAUAGUUUUACUCAUGCAAAACCUUUUUCAAUUUCACAUAAUAAAAAUAUCUUGUAAUUUUCUAUUAUUUAUAUUGUUUUUAAAAAAUUCCUGUACCAAUAACUUUGAAAAUUAUAUCAUAUUUCUCUCUUAAUUACUUUAUGAUGUGUUUUUUAAUGUUCAAGCCAUGUAUCCAUAUUGAACUUGUUGUAAAAUAUAGGUUAACGGUUGGAAAAAUAUCAAAUGCUCUUGGAGAGGUCAAGCGAAUAUAAUAAAGAUGACAAUACUAC